UCCGCGACAGUGUAUUCAUCUGACUGUAAUGGUUUAUAUGGGAAAGAUCAGCUUGAGUACUGGGAAAUGGAUAUCCAGAUCUCAUCAUGGUUUGUACCUGCAUACCUGCAAUCUUCCUACCGUCAUCAUCCAUUUCUAUAUGGUUUUUACUGCUUAAUUAGACUCAGACUUAUACAUACCUGCAGCUACAGGUUCUUUACCACUCUGCAUGGACUGAUGACAAGUCUGGAGGUUUGAUAGUUGGGGAUUUACUACGAUCAAUUGUGGUUCAAUUUCCUCUGUUGAUUGUAUUUCCCAAGGGGGGAGGGGUAAAGCUUCUUCAGUCUGUUCAAUAUUUAUGCCUGCAUAAUAUCAAGAAAAAUACCAACUAUGUAUUAAACAAUAAGAAGCAAUUUUUUGUUUUUUUUUGUUUUGCCACAGCUAAACCUACAAAUGGCUAAUAUAUCAUUUUACACGAACACUUUACAGACUUACGGCCAAACCUAAUAUAUGAUGGAGUAAGCAGUAACACCUCGAAAAUCACACUUUCUGGCAUGGAUUGGGUAUAUUUUAAUCUAACAAUUGAUUCUCUAUUAAAAUCUAUUAUAUUUUAAUGCAUGGACGUCAUGAUGUUGCGCAGUUAAAUAGGGACAUGAGUCAAUGAACUCUAUCUGUCACUUGUCAGGGACUCAGGACAUAUAUACUAUAAAAUUAUUGGCAAUAAUAAAUAGGUGGAUUGUGUAUUUAUCUAUUUCAAGGAGGAUAUGAAGAUUUCUGCCUUCUGUCCUGAUUGGUAAUUUCACUAAUUUGGUAUGUGGAAUAUGGUAUGCUGCCUGAUAACAAUAUUUUUACCAUUCAAAAAACAAUAUUGCGACAACAAGGAUAGCUUGAUAAAUGUAAGAUGAUAUUGUGCAUUUGUUCAUGUUUGAGAUUAUGAGGAAUGAAGGUUUAAUGGUUUAACAUGUGAACAGAUAAA
rnacentral:lncRNA from 1 species